AAAUACUAAAAGUUCAGACCUUAAGUAGUUUGUGAUUAAACCCUAACGGGCUUGGCCCAAUAGAAAUGGCCUUAAUUAAAAUGAUAAUGAACUAAAAUAAAUUUAACUUGGUGAGCCUAUUAUGUAAUCUUGAAAAUGAAUUGACUUCUUACUCACGCGUUUAUGCUUCCUAUGCCUGUCAGAAUUCUGACGUACUUGAUUUCCAAGAUAUAAGUCUUUCUUUGAAGACUCUUCACUUCCAAACCUAUAGCUUCUGUAAGAACCAGCGGCGCCUCCUCCACAGCAACAACUUCAUCUUCACUCCUCGGCUCCAUCUCGGUAAGAUCUUCUUCUAAUAUUUUAUUAUGUUCUUCCCUUCUGGACACCUCUCUCUCCAUGUCUUGCAUGCAACUAAUCUGGUCAAGUUCCACCAUAACAACACCAUCAUCCAUCGGAAGGACCUUGCCCUCAAGGUUAGAUGACGGAAGCAACCUUGCAAGGUUCGACAAAACUUCCCACUCGGCUUCCCGUUGCUCCAGUCCACUGCACCAAGACCUCCACUUCGGCUUUCCCUUGCGCAAGAUAGUUCUUUUGCCCAGCAACUUCUCCGGUAAUGAUAUGUGCUCGCUUCUCACCACCAGAUCCGGUAAGCUCCUCCCUUCUUUUACUGUGACAUCUCCUUUCACCUGUUUCAACAUAGAUACAUGAAAAACAUCAUGGAUCUUACAUCCUCUUGGCAGAUCCAACAUAUAAGCAACUUCUCCUUUUUUUUAUAGAUUUUAUAGGGUCCGAAAAAUCUGGGUGCAAGUUUGGGGUGUAGUCGAAAUGCUGCCAAAAUCUGUCGAUAUGGUUGCAAGCGAACCUAUACACUAUCUCUUGUUUCAAAGGUGACUUCUUUUCUUUUUUUAUCUGCAUAAUGCUUCAUUCUAUCUUGAGAGCUUUUCAUAUUUUUUUGAACAAGUGUGAUGAUUUCUUGUCUCCUACAGAGUUCCCGAUCUGCAGCCUCUAUUCUUGAUGAUCCUGCUGUGUACCCUGUUAAAGCCGGUGGGUGUCUCCCAUAUAGUGCUCGAAACGAUGUCAUCCCAAUAGAUGUGUUGAAGGUUGAGUUGAACCAAAGUUCAGCCCAUGGCAGAAGUUGGAUCCAUCUUUUUGGGUCAUCAUAAACAAGAGAUCUAAGGUAAUGCUCUAAUCCUCUAUUUGUGACCUCUGUUGUGGGUGGUAGGCCGAGGAGGUAUUUAAGGUGGUGCCACUUAAUCGGUGGAUUUCACGCCAAAAUUUACUGGUAAAAAACUUAUCUCGAUCAGAUACGACGGAUCGGGGCAUGCCGUGUAGCUUUAUUAUGUGAUUGACAAAAAACUCUGCAACAUCUGUUGCUGAAUACUCGGUAGGUAAUGCUUCAAUAUGGCAGCACUUAGUUAAACGAUCUACGACCACUACAAUCACCGUUUUAUUUUUUUACCUUCGGCAAUCCCGUAAUAAAAUCCAUUGAAACAUUCUCUCACACCGCUUUAGGAAUUGAUAAUGGCAUUAAAAUACCUUGACUUUUCUGAUUUGAGACCUUCAUUUGUUGACAAUUACUACAUUCCUCCACAUAACUUUUAACAUCCACCGACAUACCUUUUCACGACAAUGUAGAUUGUAUUCUUUUGAGUGUCCUCUCCCUUCCCGAGUGACCCCCAUAUACUGAGCUAUGAAAUUCUUUCAAUAUCUCCUUAAAUUCAGAAUCUUUACUCAUCAUUAAUUUUCCUCUAAAAUAUAAUAGAUUAUCAAUUGUAAUAAAAUCGGAUUUAGGGAUACCUCUAGCUUCCAUUCUUCUCCUCUCUUCACAGAUCGAUUGAGAUGUUCUGCAUUUAUUUUUAAUUUUUUCCAGUAAGGCAUUUAUGGGUCUGGAUAUUGCGAAUAUUGAUCCUUCCCUUUCUGUUAGUUCUUCUUCAUACAUUCUAGAUAACUCAUCUGCUGCUAAAUUUUUUUUACCCGAUUUGUAUUCAAAAGUAUAGUCAAAGCCCAGAAGUUUAAAGAGAAAUUUUGUUGUUCCGGUGUCUGAAUAACUUGAGAAAGCAAAUUCUUAAGACUAUUAUAAUCUAUUUUGACCACAAAUUUGUUACCCAACAAAUAGUGGCGCCAUUUGCAAACAGCUUGAGUGAUGGCAUAUAAUUCUUUAGCAUAUGUUGAACUAUUCUGCAUUCUCUUAGACAGUUUACUACUAUAAAAUGCCACCGGAUGUUGUUCUUGCAUAAGUACUGCUCCAAUGCCCACUCCACAAGCAUCUGUCUCCACCACAAAAGUUUUAGAAAAAUCUGGAUAGCAUAGAACUGGUGUUGUUGUCAUCAUUUUCUUUAGGGCUAAAAAACUUUCCAAUGCUUUUUCUGACCAGAUAAACGAAUCUUUCUUUAGUAAAUCAGUUAAGGGUCCUGCUAUUCUUGCAUAUCCUUGAACAAAUCGCCUAUAAUAUCCUGUUAAGCCCAGAAAUCCUCUCAACGACUUGAUUGUUUUAGGGGCUGGCCAUCUGAUCAUAGUAUCAAUUUUCUCUUGAUCUGGCCUAAUACCAUCACCUGCAAUAAUAUGUCCCAAGAAUGGUAUUGAUGUUUUUUGGAAAGAACAUUUUUCCAUUCUAGCCACCAAUUUAUUUACUUUCAAUAAUUACAUAACCAUUUUCAAUUGUUCCACAUGGUCCUCUAGAUUCUGACUGAACACCAAAAUAUCAUCGAAAAAAAUAAUUACGAACUUCCUUAAGUAUUCAGCAAAGAUUUCAUUCAUUGUCGAUUGAAAUGUUACCGGAGCAUUCGUAAGGACGAACGGCAUUACUACAAACUCAAAAUGGCCAUGGUGUGUUCUGAAGGCUAUCUUUGGAAUGUUCGGCUCAAACACUCUAAUUUGGUGGUAUCCUGAUAAUAAAUCUAGUUUGGAAAAUACUUUAGCGCCUUUCAGUUACCCCAGUAGCUCAUUGAUCGUUGGUAUAAGAAAUCUAUCUUUCACUAUUAUCGCAUUUAGUGAUCUGUAGUCUACACACAACCUCCACCCACCAUUUUUUUUCUUUACUAAUAUUACCGGUGAAGAAAAUGGGUUGUUGCUAGCUCGUACAAAUCCUUUUUGCAAUAAUUCUUUUACUAUAGAUUUCAUUUCUGCUUUCUGAAAUUGGGGAUAGCGGUAAGGCUUAACAUUAACUGCCUUAGAGUUCUCUUCUAAAUAAAUUCUAUGAUCCUUGUCACGUUUUGGAGGUAGAUGGUCAGGCUCCUUAAAC
rnacentral:lncRNA from 1 species